AAAUUGAAGAGUUUGAUCAUGGCUCAGAUUGAACGCUGGCGGCAGGCCUAACACAUGCAAGUCGAACGGUAACAGGAAGCAGCUUGCUGCUUCGCUGACGAGUGGCGGACGGGUGAGUAAUGUCUGGGAAACUGCCUGAUGGAGGGGGAUAACUACUGGAAACGGUGGCUAAUACCGCAUAACGUCGCAAGACCAAAGAGGGGGACCUUCGGGCCUCUUGCCAUCAGAUGUGCCCAGAUGGGAUUAGCUUGUUGGUGAGGUAACGGCUCACCAAGGCGACGAUCCCUAGCUGGUCUGAGAGGAUGACCAGCCACACUGGAACUGAGACACGGUCCAGACUCCUACGGGAGGCAGCAGUGGGGAAUAUUGCACAAUGGGCGCAAGCCUGAUGCAGCCAUGCCGCGUGUAUGAAGAAGGCCUUCGGGUUGUAAAGUACUUUCAGCGGGGAGGAAGGUGUUGCGGUUAAUAACCGCAGCAAUUGACGUUACCCGCAGAAGAAGCACCGGCUAACUCCGUGCCAGCAGCCGCGGUAAUACGGAGGGUGCAAGCGUUAAUCGGAAUUACUGGGCGUAAAGCGCACGCAGGCGGUCUGUCAAGUCGGAUGUGAAAUCCCCGGGCU
rnacentral:rRNA from 2 species